UGAUGUCCAAACUCUAUUCCUAUAUUUGGAAAAUUCUGCACUUUAUAAAUCUCAUUGGGAAGCCCUGCCUACCUCCAGCCCUGGAAGCUCAGUUUCCUAAUCUUCCUUGCAGUGAGGACACAAGCCCCUGAGCUACGCUCCACUAAUGAUGAGAAAACUGAGCUCAAAGAGAUUACUUCAUUUUCCCAAGGACACAUGAGAGUUCACAGGGCUUGAGAUCUAAGGAACCAUACUCAAGGAGUUUCACUUAAGGAAUGACACCUGACAAGCCAAAGCCUCACCUGGAUCUGAUUAAGUUGACAUGU